AUGCUUGACUGGCAAGGGAGACGCCAUGACCAUGAAGGUGGUGAGAGUGAGGCUUCUCCACGGCCCUCUGGAUGUGCUGACACCUAUAUUCCUCCGAAUUCGGGAGACUCGACUGCAUAAUUUGCAGGAGUGGGGGACUGUGUUCACACUGGACUAAA
ensembl:snRNA U1 U1 spliceosomal RNA